UACGUAGGUGGCAAGCGUUGUCCGGAAUUAUUGGGCGUAAAGCGCGCGCAGGCGGUCCUUUAAGUCUGAUGUGAAAGCCCACGGCUCAACCGUGGAGGGUCAUUGGAAACUGGGAGACUUGAGUGCAGAAGAGAAGAGUGGAAUUCCACGUGUAGCGGUGAAAUGCGUAGAGAUGUGGAGGAACACCAGUGGCGAAGGCGACUUUUUGGUCUGUAACUGACGCUGAGGCGCGAAAGCGUGGGGAGCAAACAGG
rnacentral:rRNA from 1 species